UAACACAAAUAUGGCUCCAUGGAUCGAGUCCGAGUAGCUAAACUGAUCUAUUUAAUUCUAAUUGACCAAUUGAUGUCUAAGGCAAGUCUGAACUAAUGGUUUUUAAUUGGGAGCAUGCUUACCUGGUCAUUUUGAUGGUGUAUAAGGCAAGCAUCAGCAAACCCUCUCACCAAUCUCACUUAUCUGAUCAGCUUGGUCGAUUAAGUUUUGAAUAAGUUGCUUAGUCAUUCGUGUUCACCCAUACCAACUAGGAUCAUCGGACAUGAGACUAC
rnacentral:lncRNA from 1 species